rnacentral:rRNA from 1 species
AACGAACGCUGGCGGCACGCUUAACACAUGCAAGUCGAACGAAGCUAUAGGGCUUGCUCUAUAGACUGAGUGGCAGACGGGUGAGUAACACGUGGGAAUUUACCAUUUGGUGGGGGAUAACAUCUGGAAACGGAUGCUAAUACCGCAUAAUGCCUACGGGCCAAAGAGGGGGAUCUUCGGACCUCUCGCGUCAAGAUAUGCCUAGGUGGGAUUAGCUAGUUGGUGAGGUAAUGGCUCACCAAGGCAACGAUCCCUAGCUGGUCCGAGAGGAUGAUCAGCCACACUGGAACUGAGACACGGUCCAG